rnacentral:lncRNA from 1 species
AACCUACACCAUAAUAACCAAAUCAAAGCCCAAACCUAACCUCAAACCCAAAUCAAAUCAAAAUUCCUGUUUAACCCAAUCCGAAUCCUACACAACCUAAUCCAACCUCUUCUCCAUACCAUGUCCUUAGAAACAAAAUAUUUCAACCCAAUUCUCUAGCAUACAAAACUAGAGUCAAAUCACAACCAUAUUCAAACUCGAUCAAAUUCUAAAUAUAUACUUAGAUUUGAUCAAACUGUCUUUUUAUCUUAGU